GAUGAACGCUAGCUACAGGCUUAACACAUGCAAGUCGAGGGGAAACGACAUCGAAAGCUUGCUUUUGAUGGGCGUCGACCGGCGCACGGGUGAGUAACGCGUAUCCAACCUGCCCACCACUUGGGGAUAACCUUGCGAAAGUAAGACUAAUACCCAAUGAUAUCUCUAGAAGACAUCUGAAAGAGAUUAAAGAUUUAUCGGUGAUGGAUGGGGAUGCGUCUGAUUAGCUUGUUGGCGGGGUAACGGCCCACCAAGGCAACGAUCAGUAGGGGUUCUGAGAGGAAGGUCCCCCACAUUGGAACUGAGACACGGUCCAAACUCCUACGGGAGGCAGCAGUGAGGAAUAUUGGUCAAUGGACGAGAGUCUGAACCAGCCAAGUAGCGUGCAGGAAGACGGCCCUAUGGGCUGUAAACUGCUUUUAUAAGGGAAUAAAGUGAGUCUCGUGAGACUUUUUGCAUGUACCUUAUGAAUAAGGACCGGCUAAUUCCGUG
rnacentral:rRNA from 1 species